UAGCGUAAAUAAAAAAAAAUCACUCAGCAGCUCCAUCCAAACAAACCAAAACGCAACCGCGCAAUUGAUAACAACAGAGGUUCUUGUUUCUGUUUUCCCAAUCCCUCAAACUUUUCAUUUUUACUUUCAAUUUUCUCUUUGUUUUGUUUCAUUCUUGAACCUGUCUGUUUUAUCUUCAUCUCUUUUGAUUCUAGUUCAUAAUUCAUAAUUUCAUAACCAACCAUCAAAAACAACAACCCAUUAUGUUGAAUUUCUCUUUUCAGUUUCACAAUUCUGUUCCCUGUUGUCUUCAUAAACAUGGUUAUUACUCUUUUCUUACUCAUCAUACAAAUGUUAUUUGUAGUAAUAAUCACCUUAGCAACAAUGUUGUUUUGUUUUCACAACAACCAAAUUGUUAUGUUCCCUCAAUUGGGUCAUUAGGGUUUCAUCAUUCCACCACACCACUCCUGUCUAAGAACAAUAAGAUUGUUCCUCAACAAAAUUUUUAUAAUGUUGAUGUUAAUGAUGAAUAUGAUGAUGUUGUUGAUAAUUUUGAUUAUGAUGAAGAUGAGAACGAUGAAAAAAGAGAGGAAUUUGAUUUAUCUUUUGUGUCCAAUAAGAAAUUGUCUCCUUUAGGAGAACUGGAACAAGAUGGUGAUGUGUAUUUUGGGGCGGAGAAGGAAUUGGGUCCCUUGGGAGAAGUGGAAGAAGAAGAUGUUGAUGUGUCUUUUGUGGCGGAGAAGGAUUUGCAACGCCAGGGUUCGAAAGUUGUGAAUGAGAAUGGAGUUAUUUUUUUGGAGGAAAUGGAUGAGAAUGUGUUAUCUAAUAGGAUUUUGGAGCUUAGUAGAACUAAUAAGAUUAGGAGUGCAAUGGAGUAUUUUAGGUCAAUGAAAAUGUUCGGUCUUUGUCCGAAUAAUCAUGCUUGUAAUUCUCUUUUGUCUGGUCUUCUGAGAAAUGGGUCGUUUGACGAUUGCUUUAAAGUAUUCGAUUUUACGAAAGAGAAAGGGAUGACUACGGGACAUACUUAUAGCUUGAUUCUUAUGGCAUGUGCGAAAGGUCAAGGAUGUGAUUCGGCUGUUGAAUUCUUCAGAAAACUAGAAAGGGAGUGUGAUGUGGAGAAGGGUUUUGAUGCCGUUGUUUACAACACAAUGAUAUCAAUUUGUAAGGAAGUUGACAAUUGGAGUGAAAUAGAGAGGUUGUGGAGGAGUAUGAAGGAAAAUGGGUGUGAUCGGACACUGGUUACGUAUCGCCUGUUAAUUAGUAGUUUUGUACGUUGUAACCAAAGUGAGCUUUCUCUUUAUGCUUACCAUGAAAUGGUUCAUAAUGGAUUUGAACCAAACAGCAAUAUAUUAAAUUCAAUCAUUUGUGUAUGUGCUAAAGAGGGAAAAUGGGACGAAGCAUUAAGCGUCUUUCAGAAAAUGUUGACAAGUGACUUCAAACCGAACUUAGUUGCGUGCAAUGUAUUGAUUAACUCACUUGGAAAGGAAGGGGAACUCAAACUGGCAUUUCAGGUAUACAAUACGAUGAAAUCGUUUGGCCAAAAACCAGAUGCGUACACAUACAACGCUCUAAUGAGUUCUCUCAACAAGGCCAAUAAACACAAUGAAGCUCUCAAGAUUUUCAAUCGGAUUGAAAGAAGUCAGAUUUGUGAAUUCAACAAACAUUUAUACAAUACUGCUUUGAUGUCUUGUUCGGAGCUUCGGCUGUGGGAUAGAGCUGUUGAAAUUCUGUGGAAAAUGGAAGCUUCUGGACUGUCUGAUUUGACAGUUUCGUAUAACCUAGUGAUCAGGACUUGUGAGCUUGUGAAAAAGCCGAAAAUUGCAUGGCAGGUGUAUGAGCAUAUGGUUCACCAGAAUUGCAGUCCAAACAUAUUUACUUAUCUGUCCAUAAUAAGAUGCUGUACUAGAGGAGAGCUCUAUGAAGAACUAGAAGAAAUUCUAAAUAAAACUGUGCCAAAUGCUGCUCUUUAUAAUGCUGCUGUUCAAGGGAUGUGCUUACGUGGCAACAUUAACUUGGCAAAUGAGGUUUACACAAAAAUGCUGGAGCACGGUCUUGAACCUGAUGUCAAAACACGAGUACUGAUGCAUCCUACGAUAAGAAAAUAGUCAAUAAAUAGAUUGCUGUUGCCAUCAACUAACAUGACAGAGUUUUGGAAAAAAUGAUGGAAGGGAUGAUAAUAUAAUUGUGAGCUGAAUCAGGGUUGGUUGAACAUUAAGUAACUCGUUUUUGGGUGCUGGGAAAUAGAACAACAGACUCAAAUGUCCUUAUGCAUUUUGUCGAAGAUACAAGAAAUAGAGAAGAUGAUUAGAAUGGUGGUGGCCAAUUCAGAUGGGAUGCAAUUAUUCCCUAAUGCCAUCACACAAAACUCUGCAGUCACUGUUUCAGAUCACUAUCCUAUACUAUAGUGGUGAUCUGUGAUAUGGCAACAGACAUGUCAAAAAAGGAUUCAGGUUUGAAAAUAUGUGGCUCAUUGAACCAGAAUUUAGCGAUGGGGAUCUAAAUACCGGAUUUUUUUCAUGCAGCAGCUUUAGCGCGUCGCAAGGUACAUACUAUGAAAUCUUUACUUGAAAGUAACGACGUUAUUGUUGAUAAGGAAGAAGCGAUCCAGAAAGUUACUUUGGAUUACUCUGGUGAUUUGUUUGAAUGCCGGAACACAGUUUGGUCCCUUGCUUUAUCUGCCUUGCAUAGAUGUUUAACUGAAGAGACGAUAGCUCGAUGUUAAUAGCUCUAUUUUUCAAGACUGAAUUCCAUGAUUCCUUAUUUGAAAUGAAACCAGAUAAAUGUCUAGGGUUGGAUGAAUUAAAUCUUAAAUUCUAUCAUCAUUUUUGGCUAAUAGUCAUCUUACUGGAACCUCCACCUCUCGAAGAUAACCACGUGAAUCGAUCAAUACUAUGAAUAUUAAAACUGAAAUUUAGACAACUUCAUAUGCAAUUCACUUGAUCCAAAUCGUUUUCCUUUCUUUUUCCGUCUCUUAGCAAGCCCAUAUACAUAUUUCUCUCUCUUUUUGGUACCUAAUGACUAGUAUAACCCGCCAAAAGCUUAUGUUCUUGCUUUGCUCACCGUCUUCUUGGUCUCUUUCUUAGUUAUGUUAAAAUUCUAUCAAGUUUCAGCAUCUUUAAAACAUUCCCUUUUGAUUCUCACUUUACUUUGAGAUGGUUGCUUUUCUGACAUUGAAUGUUUCCUAGAAACACAUGAAAAAGACUAAAAAGCCCAGCGGUAGUUAAUUACCGCCGGUUUUCUAGUUAUAAGCCAGCGGUAGUUAACUACCGCUGGAGCAUUUUAGUAUUUUUACAUGUGUUUUUAGGAAGUUUCAGAUGUUAAAAAAGCAAUUUUCUUACUUUGAAACCUCUUGAUUUAUGUUUAACUGUUUAUGUGGAUUAUGAUUGAUGUAAUGCUUACCCCCAGUGGUUUUGACCGCCUACCUGUCUGUAUGGAUGGGUAGACGUUGUGCAUGAUGAGUUGCUUCAGUGAGUUGCUUGAUGCUUGGUCGGAUAUCGGGAGCUAUCUCAGGUAUCGGUUUCGUAGGGUCUAGGAUAAGCUCUGAUCUAGGUGUCUGUUUACGUUCAUCUAGAUUAUCUGUUUUGGAUUUAUUCAUGUUGGAGAUUUACCCAUUUGUCGGGACUUGGAGAACUUUUAUGUUGAUGUAUUUUUGAUAUCAUGACAUGUAUGCUUCGAAGUAUUUGGUUUAUAUCCGUUGCGACUGUUGAGAUUUUUAUGCAUGCAUGUUGAAUUUGAAUUUUGUUUGAUGAUGUAGCGUCUAUUUCUUGAAUAUAUGUAUUAUUAGCGUGUUUUACCGCUUUAAUAGAAAUAGGGCGUUACACCACCUGCCAAUCAAUCAUUCCAACCAUUAUUGCAGCAAUCAUCAACAAUUAAGAAGAUGUCUGCGCAAGUCUACAAGCAAUUAUUUGCAAAGGAGAGAGCACCUAUUAAUGUUUCUUUUAAAACUAAUAAUGCUGUUUUUCAGGUCCAACAAGUGGACAAAGUUCAACAUUUAAUGGCUGCAGGUCAAUCAUUAGUGAUGUCUCCUACUUUUAAUGUCACUGAUUACCGUGCAGAAUUUGUUUCCACAAAAGACAAAGCAAGUCAGCCGAGUCGAGCCCAAGCCGCCAGGAAGGAUAAAGGAGCGGCUGCAGUACAGAGUCAUGGGAAGCCGAGAAAGCCAGCCAUCGUGCGCAACCCAGUGCAGCCAGAUUCUUUCAUGGCUUUUGCACGUGGGGCCAAUAGAGCUGGUGGGCCUCAAAAAGAAGCUGGGCCUAAAAAAAGGUCUAGAACAAAAACUGCUGAAGAAGGUGACCAUGGGAAAGAGGGGCGGAAAGAAAUGUCUGUUUUUAAUAAUCCAGUGUAUGAAAAAAAAUGAAACGGCGGGACCUGCUAGGCAGGCCUGCCGAGACCAAUGAGUAUUGUAGCAUGGAAUUGCCGAGGCCUGGAAACCUGCGAGUAAUUCCUAAAAUUAAAUUUCUUGUCCGGUAUUAUAAACUGGAUAUCCUUUUUCUUUGUGAAACCAUGGUUGAAGUCAAUAAAAUAGAGGAAUUUCUUUA